rnacentral:tRNA from 1 species
GGCUCCAUAUAGCUCAGUUGGUCAGAGCGUUGCGCCAGUAACGCGAGGACACGAGUUCAGACCUCGUUGAGAUCCU